rnacentral:rRNA from 1 species
UACGUAGGGUGCAAGCGUUGUCCGGAAUUAUUGGGCGUAAAGGGUGCGUAGGCGGUUUGGUAAGUCUUAUGUGAAAUCUACAGGCUCAACUUGUAGUCUGCAUGAGAAACUGCCGGGCUUGAGUAUGGGAGAGGUGAGUGGAAUUCCUGGUGUAGCGGUGAAAUGCGUAGAGAUGCGGAGGAACACCGAUGGCGAAGGCAGCCCCCUGGGCUAGCACUGACGCUCAGGCACGAAAGCGUGGGGAGCAAACAGG